rnacentral:tRNA from 1 species
GGGGGGAUGGUGUAGUGGCAUAGCACUUGGUAUGACUGUGACUACUAGAGUGAGCGGGCUCGAAUCCCGCUCCCCCUA